CAGCAGCCGCGGGAAUACGAAGGGUGCAAGCGUUACUCGGAAUUACUGGGCGUAAAGCGUGUGUAGGUGGUUGUUUAAGUCUGUCGUGAAAGCCCUGGGCUCAACCUGGGAAUUGCGAUGGAUACUGGGCGACUAGAGUGCGGUAGAAGAUAGUGGAAUUUCCGGUGUAGCAGUGAAAUGCGUAGAGAUCGGAAGGAACAUCUGUGGCGAAGGCGACUAUCUGGGCCAACACUGACACUGAGACACGAAAGCGUGGGGAGCAAACAGGAUUAGAUACCCCAGUAGUCCCUGUCUCUUAUAA
rnacentral:rRNA from 1 species